rnacentral:rRNA from 1 species
UGGGGAAUAUUGCACAAUGGGGGAAACCCUGAUGCAGCGACGCCGCGUGAGCGAAGAAGUAUUUCGGUAUGUAAAGCUCUAUCAGCAGGGAAGAAAAUGACGGUACCUGACUAAGAAGCCCCGGCUAACUACGUGCCAGCAGCCGCGGUAAUACGUAGGGGGACAAGCGUUAUCCGGAUUUACUGGGUGUAAAGGGAGCGUAGACGGCGAAGCAAGUCUGAAGUGAAAACCCAGGGCUCAACCCUGCGACUGCUUUGGAAACUGUUUUGCUAGAGUGUCGGAGAGGUAAGUGGAAUUCCUAGUGUAGCGGUGAAAUGCGUAGAUAUUAGGAGGAACACCAGUGGCGAAGGCGGCUUGCUGGGCUUUUACUGACGCUGAGGCUCGAAAGUGUGGGGAGCAAAUAGGAUUAGAUACC